rnacentral:rRNA from 1 species
GACGAACGCUGGCGGCGUGCUUAACACAUGCAAGUCGAACGGGUCUGCCCUGUUUUUUGCGGGGUGGGUCAGUGGCGAACGGGUGAGUAACACGUGAGUAACCUGCCCCUCACUUCUGGAUAACCGCUUGAAAGGGUGGCUAAUACGGGGUGUUCUGGCUGUGCCGCAUGGUGUGGCUGGGAAAGAUUCACUUUUGUGGUGUUUUGGUGGGGGAUGGGCUCGCGGCCUAUCGGCUUGGUGGUGGGGUGAUGGCCUGCCAAGGCUUUGACGGGUAGCCGGCAUGAGGGGGUGGGCGGUCACACUGGGACUGAGAUACGGCCAAGACUCCUGCGGGAGGCAGCAGUGGGGGGUAUUGCACAAUGGGCGGAAGCCUGAUGCAGCGACGUCGCGUGAGGGAUGGAGGCCUUCGGGUUGUGAACCUCUUUCGCCGGUGAAGAAGGUCCUGCUCUUUGUGGUGGGGUUGACGGUAGCCGGGUUAUGAAGCGCCGGCUAACUACGUG